AAGCAAAGGGGUAGCUGCAAAGUUCUGGAUAAGACCUCUGCAGGCAACUGGAAGCACAGUGUACCCAGGGAAUCAAAGGACUGUUAAAGCUCUGAUGUAUGAGCUGCUUGGGCACUGUGAGAUGUUUUAAGAUUAUUCAACAAGGAAAUGACAGUGAACUAGACUCCAACAACUUGUGAAAUUUAAUGAAUCUAUUCAACUAGUGUCAGCUGCAUCAAUAAAUAAUUUAAUGAGAAAUCGUCA
rnacentral:lncRNA from 1 species